GACGAACGCUGGCGGCGUGCCUAAUACAUGCAAGUAGAACGCACAGUUUAUACCGUAGCUUGCUACACCAUAAACUGUGAGUUGCGAACGGGUGAGUAACGCGUAGGUAACCUGCCUGGUAGCGGGGGAUAACUAUUGGAAACGAUAGCUAAUACCGCAUAAUAUUGAUUAUUGCAUGAUAAUUGAUUGAAAGAUGCUAUUGCAUCACUACCAGAUGGACCUGCGUUGUAUUAGCUAGUAGGUGAGGUAACGGCUCACCUAGGCGACGAUACAUAGCCGACCGGAGAGGGUGAUCGGCCCCACUGGGACUGGGACACGGCCCAGACUCCUACGGGAGGCAGCAGUAGGGAAUCUUCGGCAAUGGACGAAAGUCUGACCGAGCAACGCCGCGUGAGUGAAGAAGGGUGUCGGAUCGUAAAGCUCUGUUGUAAGAGAAGAACGGGUGUGAGAGUGGAAAGUUCACACUGUGACGGUAGCUUACCAGAAAGGGACGGCUAACUACGUG
rnacentral:rRNA from 1 species